rnacentral:rRNA from 1 species
UACGUAGGGUGCAAGCGUUAUCCGGAUUCACUGGGUUAAAGGGUGCGUAGGUGGGUCUGUAAGUCAGUGGUGAAAUCUUCGAGCUUAACUCGGAAACUGCCAUUGAUACUAUAGAUCUUGAAUUUCUGGAGGUAAGCGGAAUAUGUCAUGUAGCGGUGAAAUGCUUAGAUAUGACAUAGAACACCAAUUGCGAAGGCAGCUUCUACGGGAACAUUGACACUGAGGCACGAAAGCGUGGGGAUCAAACAGG